GACGUAGGUGGCGAGCGUUGUUCGGAAUCACUGGGCAUAAAGCGCACGUAGGCGGCCAUAUAAGUCGGGUGUGAAAGCCCUCGGCUCAACCGAGGAACUGCGCCCGAUACUGCAUGGCUUGAGGUCCGGAGGGGAGAGUGGAAUUCCCGGUGGAGCGGUGAAAUGCGUAGAGAUCGGGAAGAACGCCGGCGGCGAAAGCGGCGCACUGGACCAUAACUGACGCUGAGGCGCGAAAGCUAGGGGAGCAAACAGG
rnacentral:rRNA from 1 species